AACAAACGCUGGCGGCGUGCCUAAUACAUGCAAGUCAAACGGGGAAAACUUUCGGGUGAGUACUAGUGGCGCACGGGUGAGGAAUACGUAGGUAAUUUGCCUUGAAGAGGGGGAUAACUUUCCGAAAGGAAAGCUAAUACCGCAUAAGACCACAGGAUCUGAGGAUCUAGGGGUAAAAGGUUUUUCGCUUCAAGUUAAGC
rnacentral:rRNA from 1 species